rnacentral:rRNA from 1 species
AGGGCACCACAAGAACGCGUGGAGCAUGUGGCUUAAUUUGACUCAACGCGGGAAAUCUUACCGGGUCCGGACACACUGAGGAUUGACAGGCAAUAUUAAUACUUUGCUUCGGCAUUGUAUUAUGUUAAAUAUGCUAGUCCUUUCAUGAUUAUGUGAUAGGUGGUGCAUGGCCGUUCUUAGUUCGUGGAGUGAUCUGUCUGCUUAAUUGCGUUUCACUAAGGGCCUAUAAAUUUACGUAUGUUGUAUCGCACUUUGACCCCUUUCUUUAAUUAGAAAGCGCGUGUCUUAGUUUCGCUUUGCUCAUACAAUUAGGUCCUGAAAGCAACGAACGUGACCGCAACCUCUUGUUGCCUUUAUACCAAACAUGUUUAUUCAUUUUUUAAUGUUCAUUCAUGAAAAAAGGCUUUUUAAACUAGAGGGACCGCUGUUACUUUCUUAAACCAGAGGAAGGUUGCGGCAAUAACAGGUCUGUGAUGCCCUUAGAUGUUCCGGGCUGCACACGUGCUCACAAUGAUUAUUGCAGUGAGCAUCUCAUUUUUACACACCGCAUGCGCGAGUCCAUUUAUUCACCUUCGGGUGUUUUAAAUGUGUACCUCUGCGCGCGGUAAAGCCUGCUUCGAAAGUAAGUGGGUAAUCAAUUAGAAGUAAUGAUUUCCUUUUUUAGCACACAUAUAUACGGCGUCUAUGCCCGGGUUACCUUGUUGUAGCUUUUGUGUGUAUAGAUGUUUUUUCCGUAUGUGCGAUUGUCAAUUCAUGGUGGGGACAGACCAUUGUUAAUUGUUGGUCUCGGUCUUAACUAGGAAUGCCUUGUACGGGUCUUUGGUUCAACAAACCACCCGGAAUACGUCCCUGCCCUUUGUACACACCGCCCGUCGCUCUUACCGAUGGACUUCUCUGUGAGUUUGAGGGACUGGGAACGCAGGAAUUUAUUUYUGCACACMUAUGGAAACUUAAACGAACAGUGUGGUCUAAAGGAAAGAGAAGUCGU